rnacentral:rRNA from 1 species
UACGUAGGGGGGCGAGCGUUGUCCGGAAUCAUUGGGCGUAAAGCGCGUGUAGGCGGCUCGGUAAGUCUGCUGUGAAAGUCCAGGGCUCAACCCCUGGGAUGCCGGUGGAUACUGUCGAGCUCGAGUCCGGAAGAGGCGAGUGGAAUUCCUGGUGUAGCGGUGAAAUGCGCAGAUAUCAGGAGGAACACCAAUGGCGAAGGCAGCUCGCUGGGACGUGACUGACGCUGAGACGCGAAAGCGUGGGGAGCAAACAGG